rnacentral:rRNA from 1 species
AACGAACGCUGGCGGCAUGCCUAAAACAUGCAAGUCGAACGAGACCUUCGGGUCUAGUGGCGCACGGGUGCGUAACGCGUGGGAACCUGCCCUUAGGUUCGGAAUAACUCCCCGAAAGGGGUGCUAAUACCGGAUAAUGUCUUCGGACCAAAGAUUUAUCGCCUUUGGAUGGGCCCGCGUUGGAUUAGCUAGUUGGUAGGGUAAAAGCCUACCAAGGCGACGAUCCAUAGCUGGUCUGAGAGGAUGAUCAGCCACACUGGGACUGAGACACGGCCCAGACUCCUACGGGAGGCAGCAGUGGGGAAUAUUGGACAAUGGGCGAAAGCCUGAUCCAGCAAUGCCGCGUGAGUGAUGAAGGCCUUAGGGUUGUAAAGCUCUUUUACCCGGGAUGAUAAUGACAGUACCGGGAGAAUAAGCUCCGGCUAACUCCGUG